rnacentral:rRNA from 1 species
GACGAACGCUGGCGGCGUGCUUAACACAUGCAAGUCGAACGGAAAGGCCCUGCUUUUGUGGGGUGCUCGAGUGGCGAACGGGUGAGUAACACGUGAGUAACCUGCCCUUGACUUUGGGAUAACUUCAGGAAACUGGGGCUAAUACCGGAUAGGAGCUCCUGCUGCAUGGUGGGGGUUGGAAAGUUUCGGCGGUUGGGGAUGGACUCGCGGCUUAUCAGCGUGUUGGUGGGGUAGUGGCUUACCAAGGCUUUGACGGGUAGCCGGCCUGAGAGGGUGACCGGCCACAUUGGGACUGAGAUACGGCCCAGACUCCUACGGGAGGCAGCAGUGGGGAAUAUUGCACAAUGGGCGGAAGCCUGAGGCAGCAACGCCGGGUGCGGGAUGACGGCCUUCGGGUUGUAAACCGCUUUCGCCUGUGACGAAGCGUGAGUGACGGUAAUGGGUAAAGAAGCACCGGCUAACUACGUG